UACGUAGGGUGCAAGCGUUGUCCGGAAUUAUUGGGCGUAAAGAGCUUGUAGGCGGUUUGUCGCGUCUGCUGUGAAAUUUCGGGGCUCAACCCCGAACUUGCAGUGGGUACGGGCAGGCUGGAGUUCGGUAGGGGAGACUGGAAUUCCUGGUGUAGCGGUGAAAUGCGCAGAUAUCAGGAGGAACACCGGUGGCGAAGGCGGGUCUCUGGGCCGAUACUGACGUUGAGGAGCGAAAGCGUGGGGAGCGAACAGG
rnacentral:rRNA from 1 species